AGUAGUGGGGGACAUAUUGUUUUUGCCCUGUCUGUUGGUCUGUCUGUCUGUCUGUUUGCGCCAACUUUAACAUUUUGCAAUAACUUUUGCUAUAUUGAAGAUAGCAACUUCAUAUUUGGCAUGCAUGUGUAUCUUAUGAAGCUGCACAUUUUGAGUGUUGAAAGGUCAAGGUCAAGGUCAUCCUUCAAGGUCAGAGGUCAAAUAUAUGUGGCCCAAAUCGCUUAUUUUAUGAAUACUUUUGCAAUAUUGAAGAUAGCAACUUGAUAUUUGGCAUGCAUGUGUAUCUUAUGGAGCUGCACAUUUUGAGUGUUGAAAGGUCAAGGUCAAAGUCAUCCUUCAAGGUCAGAGGUCAAAUAUAUGUGGCCCAAAUCGCUUAUUUUAUGAAUACUUUUGCAAUAUUAAAGAUAGCAACUUGAUAUUUGGCAUGCAUGUGUAUCUCAUGGAGCUGCACAUUUUGAGUGGUGAAAGGUCAAGGUCAUCCUUCACAAGGUCAAGGUCAUCCUUCACAAGGUCAAGGUCAUAUAUAGGGGACAU